rnacentral:rRNA from 1 species
GACGAACGCUGGCGGCGUGCUUAACACAUGCAAGUCGAACGGAAAGGCCCUGCUUUUGUGGGGUGCUCGAGUGGCGAACGGGUGAGUAACACGUGAGUAACCUGCCCUUGACUUUGGGAUAACUUCAGGAAACUGGGGCUAAUACCGGAUAGGAGCUCCUGCUGCAUGGUGGGGGUUGGAAAGUUUCGGCGGUUGGGGAUGGACUCGCGGCUUAUCAGCUUGUUGGUGGGGUGGUGGCUUACCAAGGCUUUGACGGGUAGCCGGCCUGAGAGGGUGACCGGCCACAUUGGGACUGGGAUACGGCCCAGACUCCUACGGGAGGCAGCAGUGGGGAAUAUUGCACAAUGGGCGGAAGCCUGAUGCAGCAACGCCGCGUGCGGGAUGACGGCCUUCGGGUUGUAAACCGCUUUCGCCUGUGACGAAGCGUGAGUGACGGUAAUGGGUAAAGAAGCACCGGCUAACUACGUG